UACGUAAGGUGCGAACGUUGUUCGGAAUCACUGGGCAUAAAGAGCACGUAGGCGGCUUGAUAAGUCUGACUGUGAAAUCCCUCGGCUCAACCGAGGAACUGCAUCGGAUACUGUUGAGCUCGAGUGCGGCAGGGGAGAGUGGAAUUCCUGGUGGAGCGGUGAAAUGCGUAGAUAUCAGGAGGAACGCCGGUGGCGAAAGCGACUCUCUGGGCCGUAACUGACGCUGAGGUGCGAAAGCCAGGGGAGCAAACGGG
rnacentral:misc_RNA from 1 species